rnacentral:sRNA from 1 species
UUUUUGUAUGAAAAACUUAUGGUUUUUGUAUGAAAAAUACACCUCUCUCUACUUUUAAUUAAAACUAUAAUUAUUUCU